rnacentral:pre_miRNA from 1 species
CUCGGGGAGGGGAGGUCCCUCAGCCCAGAUUGUGAGAGGGUACAGGCCAGGCUAAGGGACACCACUGGUGCAUG